AAGGACGGAACUAAACAGAUUAGCUCUCCCGUCUUCGCUGGUGCGCGCUUAACCAGGCCUCGGACAGCCUGCCUCGAUUUCAUAGCUGUCCCUCUGUGUUUGAGUCAGGCAGGAGGACUCCUACUGAGAGGGCUGUGGACGCUGUGGGGGGGAGCAUUGAGAGCCGUUUCUGAAGUGUGUCUGUGUAAGGGGGCUCUCCUCCUCUCAUCUCCCCUCCAUUCUCAGCAUCUGUCCAGGCCCUCGUCGGACUGCAACACCCUGCACCCCUCUCUAGGAGCACAGGACUCGCUGCCUGGCACGGUGCACCUCCCUUCAAGAGCUCGAUGUAGUGAGCCACGAUCAGAGCAGAGUGCAGAACAGCGUAGUGAAAUCGUCUCAAAGGCGUUGACAAAAGAAGGAAGGGUGGAGCAAAAGCCCUGAGAGAGACUGCGUGACACUGUGGACUGACCACUGGCAAACAAAGGAUGGUACACGAGACUCUGCAGCUUCUGAUGUGAUGUUGGAUUGACUUGUAUCUCACAUUCGAGCAAAUUAGCUCUUUGUGUAGUACGAAGCACAGUACGGGAGUUGCAUGUGUGCAUAUUCACUUUCCCCAGGGGGCUAGCAGAAGGGUCUACCAGAGAGCCAUACCAGCCCCCUCCUGCAGUUCUCGGCACCCCCCCCCAGCCCAGCGCUGGCAUGUUGGUUUAGCUGCUGCAUUCACGUGAGAUGCUUCUGGGCUGGUUGGGCUCAUUGUCGACAAUAACGACAGCUGCGGCGAAGCUGGCAUGACUGACACACCUGGUCUUGCCAUGGACACGGAGCAGCGAAUCCUUCCCGGGCUCCGUCCACGGAGCUCGGCUGCUGGGGCUGAUGCGAGGCUCCAGCUGCUGGACCGAUGUGGCGAGGUAGUGCAGUUGUGACAGAGUGGGCCCCAGGAGAUGCAGUUGAGGUUGAAUAAGGAGGAUGGAGGUUCGGGGGGGUUAAGUACCUCUUUUUAUAGCCAGAUGUACUGCUUGUAACGGAACAAGAGCAGGAGGAAAUCGCUGUGUUUAUUCUCUACAAGGGCUCCUGGGUUUCUGCUUCAGCUUGGAUUCCUUUGUGCUCCUUGUGAUAGAAAAACUGCAAACUGGUAACAUGAGCAUGGGCAGUUGUGUGAUCUCUGCUUUGUGGGACAUCUAAUA
rnacentral:lncRNA from 1 species